CAGUGGUGGUGCGGACGGUAAACGUUUACAGUUGUGCCAACAGCAGUACUCUCCAUGCAGUGACGAGGUCCACGUCGCUGCGAUCAACGGCAAGCAUGACAGAGCUCCGGAACAGCAUGCAAAGAGAUUUCCGGCGUACUCUCCACGGCCGCUCUUAUCAGCGUCUGCUCUUCUCAUCUGCUCCAUCAAAC